rnacentral:rRNA from 1 species
UACGUAGGGGGCAAGCGUUGUCCGGAUUUAUUGGGCGUAAAGAGCGUGUAGGCGGCCAAGCAGGUCAGCUGUGAAAACUCGAGGCUCAACCUCGAGACGUCGGUUGAAACCGCUUGGCUAGAGUCCGGAAGAGGAGAGUGGAAUUCCCGGUGUAGCGGUGAAAUGCGUAGAGAUCGGGAGGAACACCAGAGGCGAAGGCGGCGACCUGGACAAGUACUGACACUCAACUACGAAAGCGUGGGGAGCAAACAGG